UGAAAAGUUGCCAUCUUGCAGCGGUGGGCGGCACAUGAACCCGCGUCUUCCUGGACACAGAACCCGAACGCGGACCACUCAGCCUCCUCCUCCCGGCACCAGGGCACUAGACUGGCUGAGUGUAACUUAUGUCCGCACGGACGUCUGGCGCAUCUCAACACUUCCUAAAAUCACCUGAGGCCCCUCGGAUACGGAAGUAAAUAUCCUGAAAGCACGUCGGUGGUGGCCAUUACAGGUGAGAGAAAGCGAGUAUAUAUACACCUGUGUGGCUCUCUCGCCCUUAGCCAUACCUGUCCACGCCGCCUCCGAGACACCACCACGCCGUCGUCCGCCACACACAGGUAGCCACAUCAUCAUCAGCAGCAGCAGCGCCCCACCAUGCGGAACCUCGGCCUCCUCAUCAUGGGCGUGUGUGUGAGCCUCGCCUUCGCCCUGCCGCCGCCACACCCAGCGUACGAGCCCGCAGGGGUGAUCGAGAGGGACGGGAAGAUCCUCUUAAUUUUGUUCCAUGAGACAGCAGGGAAAUUACUGGGGGAGGUUAAGGAGGCUGCCGCGGGGGACGGGCAUGGGGAGGAGGCUGCCGCGGGGGACGGGCAUGGGGAGGAAGCGGCCGCGGGGGACGGGCAUGGGGAGGAAGCAGCCGCGGGGGACGGGCAUGGGGAGGAAGCAGCCGCGGGGGACGGGCAUGGGGAGGGAGCAGCUGCAGACGAAGAACAUGUGGCUGAGGAGGAGGCUGCUACGCAUGAAGGGAAUGAGGCGACUGAAGAGGGACAUUAUGAGACUGUGGAGAACUGUCACCUCCUCGGCCUCAUCUGUUACACGCACAUGCAUCAAACGGGUCGCGGUAAUUUAGUUUAGCUGUUGUUGCUGUUACUGUCUGUUUGUUAUUGUUGUUAUUGUUGUUGUUCAAAUGACUGUUGACUGUCUAUGUUUAAGCCCGAGAAAGGUUUAGAGAGAGAGAGAGGUUCCAAGCCUUUCCGUUCCCUCCGUCAUGUUCCGUCGAUGUCUUCUGCCUUUUUUUGUACUGUGAUUAAACUUUUAUAAAUACCA